rnacentral:rRNA from 1 species
GAUUAACGCUGGCGGCGUGCAUAACACAUGCAAGUCGAACGAUGAAACUUUUUUGAUUUCUUCGGAAUGAAAAAAAGUGGAUUAGUGGCGGACGGGUGAGUAAUGCGUGAGUAACCUGCCUUAGAGAAGGGGAUAGCCUUUGGAAACGAAGAAUAAUACCCUAUGAAACCAUAACCUCGCAUGAGGCCUUGGUCAAAGAUUUAUCGCUCUAAGAUGGACUUGCGUCUGAUUAGUUAGUUGGUGGGGUAACGGCCCACCAAGACAGCGAUCAGUAGCCGGCUUGAGAGAGUGUACGGCCACAUUGGGACUGAGACACGGCCCAGACUCCUACGGGAGGCAGCAGUGGGGAAUUUUGCACAAUGGGGGAAACCCUGAUGCAGCGACGCCGCGUGAUUUAGAAGGCCUUCGGGUUGUAAAAAUCUUUUCUAUGGGAAGAAAAUGACAGUACCAUAGGAAUAAGGACCGGCUAAUUACGUGCCAGCAGCCGCGGUAAUGCGUAAGGUCCGAGCGUUGUCCGGAAUCAUUGGGCGUAAAGGGUACGUAGGCGGGUAAGCAAGUUAGAAGUGAAAUCCUAUAGCUCAACUAUAGUAAGCUUUUAAAACUGCUCAUCUUGAGGUAUGGAAGGGAAAGUGGAAUUCCUAGUGUAGCGGUGAAAUGCGCAGAUAUUAGGAGGAAUACCGGUGGCGAAGGCGACUUUCUGGCCAUAACCUGACGCUGAGGUACGAAAGCGUGGGUAGCAAACAGG